GCUGAGGUAGCCAAGUGGCCUACGGCGCUGGUCUUGAGAACCAGUGGUGCACCGCACCUCGUGAGUUCAAAUCUCACCCUCAGCGC
rnacentral:tRNA from 1 species